UACAGUAGAGGUCUGACCCACAGGC
rnacentral:piRNA from 1 species